AGAGUUUGAUCCUGGCUCAGAAUGAACGCUGGCGGCGCGCCUAAUACAUGCAAGUCGAGCGAGAAGACGUAGCAAUACGUUUGUAAAGCGGCGAACGGGUGAGGAAUACAUGGGUAACCUACCCUCGAGUGGGGAAUAACUAGCCGAAAGGUUAGCUAAUACCGCGUACGCUCCUUGGACUUCGGUUCAGGGAGGAAAGCGAUACCGUGGGUAUCGCGCUCUUGGAUGGGCUCAUGUCCUAUCAGCUUGUUGGUGAGGUAACGGCUCACCAAGGCUUCGACGGGUAGCUGGUCUGAGAGGACGAUCAGCCACACUGGCACUGCGACACGGGCCAGACUCCUACGGGAGGCAGCAGUAAGGAAUAUUGCGCAAUGGGCGAAAGCCUGACGCAGCGACGCCGCGUGGGGGAUGAAGGUCUUCGGAUUGUAAACCCCUUUCGGGAGGGAAGAUGGAAUGGGGUAACCCAUUCGGACGGUACCUCCAGAAGCAGCCACGGCUAACUUCGUGCCAACAGCCGCGGUAAUACGAAGGUGGCAAGCGUUAUUCGGAUUUACUGGGCGUACAGGGAGCGUAGGCGGUUCGGUAAGCCCUUUGUGAAAUCUUCACGCUUAACCUGGAAAAGUCGGAGGGGACUGCCGGGCUAGAGGACGGGAGAGGAGCGCGGAAUUCUCCGGUGUAGCGGUGAAAUGCGUANAGAUCGGGAGGAAGGCCGGUGGCGAAGGCGGCGCUCUGGAAACGUUUCUGACGCUGAGGCUCUAAAGCGUGGGGAGCAUACAGGAUUUAGAUUACUCUGCGAGUCUACGUCUUAAACUAUGAAUACUAAGUGGUCGGCGGGUUACCGUCCUGUGGCNCAGCUUACGCAUUAAUAUUCCGCCUGGGAAGUUACGGCCGCAAGGUUGAAACUCAAAUGAAUUGAUCGGG
rnacentral:rRNA from 1 species